GGGAUAUAGCUCAAUGGUAGAGCACUUGCCUGUCAGGCAUGGAUUAGAGGAGCUAUUUUCUGGACUUCUGACUAAUAACUCUAUAUAGAUGGCACAUGGAUGGGUAUAGGAGCUCCUCUGGCUUCAAAGGAAUAGAAACUUUAUAAUUAGUUUGUCUGUUACUCAAGGCUCUGGAUUCAAUCCCCAGUACUGCCA
rnacentral:tRNA from 1 species